GACGAAGGAUGCAAGCGUUAUCCGGAUUCAUUGGGUUUAAAGGGAGCGUAGGUGGUCUACUAAGUCAGUGGUGAAAUCUCUCGGCUUAACUGAGAAAUUGCCAUUGAUACUGGUGGACUUGAGUGUAGUUGCCGUUGGCGGAAUAUGACAUGUAGUGGUGAAAUACAUAGAGAUGUCAUAGAACACCGAUUGCGAAGGCAGCUGACGAAACUAUAACUGACACUGAGGCUCGAAAGUGCGGGGAUCAAACAGG
rnacentral:rRNA from 1 species